AGUGAACGCUGGCGGUAGGCCUAACACAUGCAAGUCGAACGGCAGCACAGUAAGCGCUUGCUCUUACGGGUGGCGAGUGGCGGACGGGUGAGGAAUACAUCGGAACCUACUUUUUCGUGGGGGAUAACGUAGGGAAACUUACGCUAAUACCGCAUACGACCUACGGGUGAAAGCAGGGGAUCUUCGGACCUUGCGCGAUUGAAUGAGCCGAUGUCGCAUUAGCUAGUUGGCGGGGUAAAGGCCCACCAAGGCGACGAUCCGUAGCUGAUCUGAGAGGAUGAUCAGCCACACUGGAACUGAGACACGGUCCAGACUCCUACGGGAGGCAGCAGUGGGGAAUAUUGGACAAUGGGCGCAAGCCUGAUCCAGCCAUACCGCGUGAGUGAAGAAGGCCUUCGGGUUGUAAAGCCCUGUUGUUGGGAAAGAAAAGCAGCAUGUUAAUACCCCGCUGUUCUGACGGUACCCAAAGAAUAAGCACCGGCUAACUUCGUG
rnacentral:rRNA from 1 species